AGGCGAUGAUGAAUUGUUUCAUUUCUCGAUACUGAAAUGAUGGGCUUUAUAUUUAUUUGAUGACUGCAUUUGUGCGUGUCUGAGCCUC